rnacentral:rRNA from 1 species
UACGUAGGGUGCGAGCGUUGUCCGGAAUUACUGGGCGUAAAGAGCUUGUAGGUGGUUUGUCGCGUUGUUCGUGAAAUCUCACGGCUCAACUGUGAGCGUGCGGGCGAUACGGGCAGACUAGAGUACUGCAGGGGAGACUGGAAUUCCUGGUGUAGCGGUGGAAUGCGCAGAUAUCAGGAAGAACACCGGUGGCGAAGGCGGCUCUCUGGGCCUUACCUGACGCUGAGGAGCGAAAGCGUGGGUAGCGAACAGGAUUAGAACCCG